rnacentral:rRNA from 1 species
CGAACGCUGGCGGCACGCUUAACACAUGCAAGUCGAACGAGAAAUCCGGGCUUGCCCGGGUGGACAGUGGCGAACGGGUGAGUAACACGUGAGGAACCUGCCCCGAAGACCGGGAUAACACCGGGAAACCGGUGCUAAUACCGGAUGCCCUCGCAGGAUCGCAUGAUCCAACGAGGAAAUGGAUUCCGCUUCGGGAUGGCCUCGCGGCCUAUCAGCUUGUUGGUGAGGUAACGGCUCACCAAGGCGACGACGGGUAGCUGGUCUGAGAGGAUGUCCAGCCACACUGGGACUGAGACACGGCCCAGACUCCUACGGGAGGCAGCAGUGGGGAAUCUUGCGCAAUGGGCGAAAGCCUGACGCAGCGAUGCCGCGUGCGGGAUGAAGGCCUUCGGGUUGUAAACCGCUUUCAGCAGGGACGAAAUUGACGGUACCUGCAGAAGAAGCCCCGGCCAACUACGUGCCAGCAGCCGCGGUAAUACGUAGGGGGCAAGCGUUGUCCGGAUUUAUUGGGCGUAAAGAGCUCGUAGGCGGUUUGGUAAGUCGGAUGUGAAAUCUCCAGGCUCAACCUGGAGGGGUCAUUCGAUACUGCCCUGACUAGAGUCCGGUAGGGGUGUGUGGAAUUCCUGGUGGAGCGGUGAAAUGCGCAGAUAUCAGGAGGAACACCCGUAGCGAAGGCGGCACACUGGGGCCGGUACUGACGCUGANGAGCGAAAGCGU